rnacentral:misc_RNA from 1 species
GGGGGUUGCUGAAUACACUGCCGCAGUUUACUGGAUCGGGAGGGAUGUUUUUGUCGUACUGUAUGGUGUUUUGGAUGUCGUUGACGCCGAGUCCGAAUUGGAGAGUGAUGCUCGGGGUUCUCUCGGUCCCUUCUCUUCUGUACUUUAUACUGACCAUAUUUUAUUUACCCGAGUCUCCGAGGUGGCUUGUGAGCAAAGGGCGGAUGGUUGAGGCCAAGAAGGUUUUGCAGAGCUUGCGUGGGAGGGAAGAUGUCUCAGGAGAAAUGGCUCUACUAGUUGAAGGCUUGGGUGUAGGAGGUGACACAUCCAUUGAGGAAUACAUAAU